CUGGUGGGUUCACUGGUAGAUCUCAAUCUUACUAGGAAGCUCGCUACUCUCUAUAUCUCUCUGUAAUUUAAAAAUAAUUAAUAAUUUUUUUUAAAUAGCUAAAGAGUUAAAAUAUUCAAAUAAAAAUUACUUAUUAUCUGAUCUAUAUGGCGAGCGAACAGCCUCGAACCCCCACAGUGCGAGACGGUCUGUCUCGCUCAAUUCGUGAUAUUUCGGACAUAUCGAUCGUGUACAGUUGACAGUUAAAUUAGUAAGUUACUAACUGAAUUUAAGAAUAAAUGAUUCAAUGGCUAAACUCUAAAAAAAAAGAAAUUUGGAUGCUUAACCUGAUAUGUCGGGUCCUCAUACUUACGGCAUAUGGCAGCCUAGUCCUCGAUACUGAUGCUAUCAUAUGGCCGCUGCCGCAUUGCCUCCACUUCCUGAUCCUACAGCACAGCAUACCAGUGGUGAUGAAUGUGAUACCGAUAAUCCUUGAAAUGCGAGCACAGAUGAUCAUCCAAAGCUCGUCAUACGUAAUUUUGUUCAAAAUCAAUAAUAUCAAAUAUGACC
rnacentral:lncRNA from 1 species